rnacentral:hammerhead_ribozyme from 1 species
AUUCAUCUGAAGAGUCCCAGAAAAGACGAAACGCGUGUCCCGGAU